AUUGAACGCUGGCGGCAGGCCUAACACAUGCAAGUCGAACGAGUGGCGGACGGGUGAGUAAUGUCUGGGAAUCUGCCUGAUGGAGGGGGAUAACUACUGGAAACGAUAGCUAAUACCGCAUACCAUCGGAUGUGCCCAUAUGGGAUUAGCUAGUAGGUGGGGUAACGGCUCACCUAGGCGACGAUCUCUCGCUGGUCUGAGAGGAUGACCAGCCACACUGUGACUGAGCCACGGUCCAGACUCCUACGGGAGGCAGCAGUGGGGAAUAUUGCACAAUGGGCGCAAGCCUGAUGCAGACAUGCCGCGUUUAUGAAGAAGGCCUUCGGGUUGUAAAGUACUUUCAGCGGGGAGGCGUUACCCGCAGAAGAAGCACCGGCUAACUCCGUGCCAGCAGCCGCGGUAAUAC
rnacentral:rRNA from 1 species